UACGUAGGUGGCAAGCGUUGUCCGGAAUUAUUGGGCGUAAAGCGCGCGCAGGUGGUCCUUUAAGUCUGAUGUGAAAGCCCACGGCUCAACCGUGGAGGGUCAUUGGAAACUGGGGAACUUGAGUGCAGAAGAGGAAAGUGGAAUUCCAAGUGUAGCGGUGAAAUGCGUAGAGAUUUGGAGGAACACCAGUGGCGAAGGCGACUUUCUGGUCUGUAACUGACACUGAGGCGCGAAAGCGUGGGGAGCGAACAGG
rnacentral:rRNA from 1 species